GGCAAUAAGAAAAAUAAACACUCAUGUUGAGAAUAUAACAUUAUUGAGACUUCUUUUCCCUUCAUAGGCCAAAUUCUCUGCUGGCAUAUUUGAUGCAAUUCCACAGACUCCACUGGGACUUCAAAUUUUGUCACAGAGAACAUAGGACAUUUUUUAUUAUGGUUGUAAUUUUGUAAAAAUAAGGAUAAAAUUUAAAUAGAAGCAUUGACAGCAUUUGCUUUCACAGAUCUCGGAUUUGAGAAGCUAUUUAUGAAUAUCAAAUUGUGGUCCAUUUCUCCCUGGAGUAUCACGCAGAUGUGCAGCUGCACAGCUGCAGCUCUUCAACACCAAGGGUUGAGCUGUCUCCAGACACCAGUAAAAAGCCAAGCACAUGCAGGCCACACAAGAAAUCACCUGGAACAAGGGUCAUCCCAAAACAAAAGCAAUUCAAGCAGCCUGUCUGAGAGGAAGAUGAGGAAGGAAGGAAGGAAGGAAGAAGGAAGGAGACUUAUUUCAUCUUCUGUACUGCGGAUCAUUUUGACAUCAUCCCGGAUUAUGCAAUAUACCAUGGCGGGGACUGUGAAGCAUGAGUUCAUCAAGAAAGGGCACUUUCAUUAGUGCUGCUGCAGUGUGUGUUCUCAGAUAUCUGAGGUGGAAAGGUCACAGCCACAGACUUCACAGCACCGCUCUUUGGCCUGUCUACACCCAUCCCUGGUUAUCUGGAGUUAUGGGGAAGCAAGGUUAAAUGCUUUCAUAGGAGGUCUGUGUUUAUCCUGGUGGCAUGCGAAGAAGAAUCCCAUUAAAUUAAGUAGCUCCCUUCUUAAGAAUGGCAAUUACUGUGAAGCACAGAUUAAAGUAAGAUUCCAUGAAUUAGUGAUCUGAUUUCAUUUGGCAGUGGUGUUUUACAAUGUGUAGUAUCAAACACUAUAUAAUGUCAAUGAUAAAGAGAGCACAUGAGGAUUUACAAUGUAUAAUGACGUGAAAUGUCUUCGGUGCUCAAACCCUCACUCCUUUGUUUGCACGUAAACCACAAACUGGUUUGGCAUAAAGCACAAGAUUUUUUCUCAUCACAAAAAAAAAAAAAAAAAAAAAAAAAAAGGGGUCAGCUGUACUGGAAUGAGGUAAAAGUACAAAAGUAA
rnacentral:lncRNA from 1 species